CUUUGUUUUGUUCGGCACCUCCACAGAGGAAGGCUGAAGGCACAUGCAAACUCAUAGACGGACGGAGAUAAGAUCAUCUUGCAGCAGGACACGAGAAGACUGAGGCUGCAGAGAAAUUAAUUUUAUGACAGAGGUUAUCAUCAUCUUUAACAGCGGCGUCAUCACCACCAUGAAGAUGCUGACUGUUUCUGCACUUCUUUGUGCAACGAUGUUUCUGACCAGAGCCA